rnacentral:rRNA from 1 species
AAAGGGGAGCAAUCCCCAAGUAGAGCGGCGAACGGGUGAGUAACGCGUGGGUAAUCAGCCUCCGAGUGGGGAACAACACCGGGAAACUGGUGCUAAUACCGCAUAACAUCAUCGGGUCUUCGGGCCUGAUGAUCAAAGCCGGGGACCGCAAGGCCUGGCGCUUGGAGAGGAGCCCGCGUCCGAUUAGCUAGUUGGUGGGGUAAUGGCCUACCAAGGCGACGAUCGGUAGCCGGCCUGAGAGGGCGGACGGCCACACUGGGACUGAGACACGGCCCAGACUCCUACGGGAGGCAGCAGUGGGGAAUUUUUCGCAAUGGGGGAAACCCUGACGAAGCAACGCCGCGUGGAGGAUGAAGGCCUUCGGGUCGUAAACUCCUGUCGACCGGGACGAAAGUAGGAUGGCCUAAUACGCCGAUCUAUUGACUGUACCGGUGGAGGAAGCCACGGCUAACUCUGUGCCAGCAGCCGCGGUAAUACAGAGGUGGCAAGCGUUGUUCGGAAUUACUGGGCGUAAAGGGCGCGUAGGCGGCUUGGUCAGUCCCGUGUGAAAUCCCUCGGCUCAACUGAGGAACUGCACGGGAAACUGCCUGGCUUGAGUUCGGGAGAGGGAAGCGGAAUUCCGGGUGUAGCGGUGAAAUGCGUAGAUAUCCGGAGGAACACCGGUGGCGAAGGCGGCUUCCUGGACCGACACUGACGCUGAGGCGCGAAAGCUAGGGGAGCAAACGGGAUUAGAUACCCCGGUAGUCCUAGCUGUAAACGAUGA